AGAGUUUGAUCCUGGCUCAGAGCGAACGCUGGCGGCAGGCUUAACACAUGCAAGUCGAGCGGGCGUAGCAAUACGUCAGCGGCAGACGGGUGAGUAACGCGUGGGAACAUACCUUUUGGUUCGGAACAACACAGGGAAACUUGUGCUAAUACCGGAUAAGCCCUUACGGGGAAAGAUUUAUCGCCGAAAGAUUGGCCCGCGUCUGAUUAGCUAGUUGGUGAGGUAACGGCUCACCAAGGCGACGAUCAGUAGCUGGUCUGAGAGGAUGAUCAGCCACAUUGGGACUGAGACACGGCCCAAACUCCUACGGGAGGCAGCAGUGGGGAAUAUUGGACAAUGGGCGCAAGCCUGAUCCAGCCAUGCCGCGUGAGUGAUGAAGGCCCUAGGGUUGUAAAGCUCUUUUGUGCGGGAAGAUAAUGACGGUACCGCAAGAAUAAGCCCCGGCUACUUCGUGCCAGCAGCCGCGGUAAUACGAAGGGGGCUACGUUGCUCGGAAUCACUGGGCGUAAAGGGUGCGUAGGCGGGUCUUUAAGUCAGGGGUGAAAUCCUGGAGCUCAACUCCAGAACUGCCUUUGAUACUGAGGAUCUUGAGUUCGGGAGAGGUGAGUGGAACUGCGAGUGUAGAGGUGAAAUUCGUAGAUAUUCGCAAGAACACCAGUGGCGAAGGCGGCUCACUGGCCCGAUACUGACGCUGAGGCACGAAAGCGUGGGGAGCAAACAGGAUUAGAUACCCUAGUAGUCC
rnacentral:rRNA from 1 species